UCAAGAGUAAUCUUAAAAAGAAGAAGAAUCUGUUGUGCCACUACCUUUACAAGAGACCGAUGACACAAUAUUAAGAAGAUCAACUAAAAUAAAAAAAAUCUUCCAUUUCUAAUGAAUAUGUAGUGUGUCCUUAAUAAACAACUGCACGAGACCAAACACCGGCGGCGAAAACAACUUCCUCUAAUCCGUGUUGGCGGCAGUAUGGAGAAUGCGGCUGCCGAAGGCCAAGCUCCCAAUGCCAGACAUCGCUUCAACAGCAGAGCCAUCAAUAAUAGGGAGACUUCGUCACAGUCUCCGGCGCCAUCAAUUCCCGCUCUGAGAUUCACCACCGCGGCCGUAAGAGGAUGCAAAGUCCCCGAGCAAAAUGUUGUUCACAGCACGCCUCCUGUAACGGUUGAAUAAGUAGCUAUUUGAUUUGGUAGUGGUUUGUAUCAGUCAAAAGUUCAUCUUGUUCGCGGCAUAGUGAAAGAUGUGAAAGCUCAGAAGAUUAUCCUCUGUGAUGAGACCAAGGUUCCAUAUAGUUUGUUGGUAUGGUCUAGUAGAGACAAUAACAGGGCAUCCAUGUUUAAUGUGCAGUUUUAAUUUAAACUAUUUAAUGCACAUUAGGUGUUUGUGUUAUUGGUUUAUCAGAAAUUUGAGGUUGUCUAUUCUCUAUGUUUUUCUUGCAGGUUAUGUUUGAGCUAGGAUGAUGCUAGAGUAGAUGUUCAAUCUAGAACUUUAAUUUGGUUUCUUACCCAUGUCUUUGAUGUUUAAUAAUCUUAUGCUUGGUUUAAUUAAAUUAUUGCAACUUUCAAUUAAGGAAUUAAGAAAUAAGAAUAAAAAUCUGCAUGUUGCUAAAAUGACACCUUUUCAUGUUCAUAAACAUAGAACAGAUAUAAAAAAACAUACAUAUGGCAGUAGUAUUUGAAAAAUGUGUAUGGCUUUGUUGUUCGUAUUUUUUAUGGAACCAGGGUUUAUCAUAGAUAACACAAACUUUGACAAAAGCAUGCAUAUCAUCACAUGGGGUAUCCAACAUGCUUCAAUUCAAGGUGAAGACCUUUAUCUUGUAUUAGAUCAAACCUCAGGUAUACAAUAAUAAUCUACUAUAUGCUUCUAAUCACCCAAUUCUUUUACAUUAUUAUUUUUUAUUCUAUAUAUAUUUCUUUGCUAAUUAAUAAGCUAAUUCUUCCCAUUGAAUACUGCAGACUUUAUUUGGGAUAAGACUUAACACUUUUCAUCAUGAUGACAUAUGAGUAAUAACAACCUUCUUUUAAAUAGAUUGAAUUAUUCACAAACUUCUUUUAAUUUGUUUCUUUAAGAUUUUGAAAGACAUUAUUAUUUUUAUCUCAUUCCGUUGUGUGUAAAAAGCACUCUGCAAUUUGUGAAGCAUUUAGCAAAACUGAUGUAGGGUAGGGUCUUUUUCGUUCCAUUCUUCUAAUAUACAAUCAUCUUUGUAAGGUUUUAUAGUGGUUCAAAAGAAAAAUGUCUCCAAGCCAUCAAUUGUUGAAGCACCAAAAUGCUAUGUGCCACCGGUGUCUUGAUGAAGCUUCUUAAGACUGUAGUUUAUCUUCUUGAGAUUCGAAAAACUUGCUGUGAGCUCUUAGAUAAAGGAUGCUAUGGAGAACUUAUGUGGCAAAAUGCAUUCCAAGUUCUUGGCUUUCCUAAGGAUAUGUGAGGAGGUUGUAGAAGUGAACUAGUGAAGCAUGAAUUAAUUGAGCAGCAAAAGUAUAUCUCAGCUCAAGGUAUUCUUGUACAAUACUUAAUGACUGGUGUCAGCGGUGAAUUGGAAGAGUGGAAUAAGUCGAGUCGCGAUCUUGCUGAAAUUCAAUCAUUGCCACAUAAGUACAUGCUGUUACUCCACCAUGUUGAGGGUUUAGGUUUAUGUCUUAAUUUAUCAACUUUUGAGCCAGGUGUUAUAUUGUGUAAUUAGGUGAUAAAUGAGCUCUUACAUAUAUUUUGGAUGAAUUGAAAUUAUUGAGAUAAAAGUUGAAUUACGUUACUUGAUUAAUGUAAAGUAGAUGCUAGCUUCUAAGAGAUAUUAUUUGAUAGUGAAUUAAUAUGGCUGCUGAAU